CUACAGAGGGUGCAAGCGUUAAUCGGAAUUACUGGGCGUAAAGCGCGCGUAGGCGGUUUAAUCAGUCGGAUGUGAAAGCCCCGGGCUCAACCUGGGAACUGCAUUCGAUACUGUUAAGCUAGAGUAUGGUAGAGGGAAGUGGAAUUCCAGGUGUAGCGGUGAAAUGCGUAGAUAUCUGGAGGAACAUCAGUGGCGAAGGCGACUUCCUGGACCAAUACUGACGCUGAGGUGCGAAAGCGUGGGGAGCAAACAGGAUUAGAAACCCUAGUAGUCC
rnacentral:rRNA from 1 species